CUGCCAUUUUGCAGCAGGCCAUGGGCUCACUCUGCCAUUUUAGGACAGACCUCGGGUCACUGCCAUUUUGUGACAGGCUAUGGGCUCACUCCACCAUUUUGUGACAGGCCACAGAUAAGGAGACGUAUGAGCAAAGGACUGUAUCUUCACCAACUAUUAAUGUACAUUAUACAGAAGUCCUGAAAAAAAUACUUGUUGAUUUUCAGUGUGUUCCAUUCCUAGACUAACAACAGGUUUGUUUUGUCAUCUGGCUUUAAACCCAGUGAAUAUUCAUCAGUCAUGUUCAAGUAAAAUGGCUGGAGAAGGAGAGGAAAUGUGGCCCUGUGAGAAGAUGAAGAGUACCAAGCUGUGACUGCCGACAUACUUUGAAUGAAGAAAUUGCAAGUUGCUUAAAAGGAACAUUUUGGGAAAGUGAACUAUGUGAAAGCCUGCUUAGGAACCCCCUGCGUGAAAUGGCAGCAGAGAAGAACAAGAAGUGCCUGGUUUGUGUCAGGAGGAACAGGCUGUGCUGUUUCCAGUGCUCUCCUCAGCCUCCCACAGCCACAGAGUCCUUAACAGCAGUCAUUAAACUUCCUAACGUAGACCAGCAUGAGGCCUUGUACUGGGAGAUAGUCCUCGAAGUCCAACUAAAAUCUUUUUCCUCUUAGUCAUGGUCGUUCCUCAGAGCCACACAGUACCUUCAGAAAAUAUGAACAGAAGCAGAGUUGCUCUGCAAGGGAGGCAGUACUGCUGGAAGCAUUAACAGCUUUAAUGAGGAAAGCAGGGCAGGUUUGAGGGUUCGUAGUUGCUGCUCUGCACAGGUCCAGGUGAGAUGUACGCUGGCUUAAAUGGGCAUUUGGAGAAUUACUAAGGUAGGUGUGACAGCAGUGAACCAAAAUUGUUCAUUAUGGGGAGGGUAGGUGGAAGGAAAACCAGUUUAGAUGUGAUGUUACCAACACUUUUCCUUUAUUCCCAGAAAAAAAAGACCUGUCAGUGACUCUCUUCCGCAUUGUCUCCUGAGAUAGAAGACUUCCCAAGGUAUGAAGGUGUGUUUCCAGUGCUGUCACUGAGAUUUGUCCAUACAAUACUGCAACUGGUUCCUUAGUUCACCUUGAAGAA